rnacentral:rRNA from 1 species
UACGUAGGUGGCGAGCGUUAUCCGGAAUUAUUGGGCGUAAAGCGUCCGUAGGUGGUUUGACAAGUCUGGGGUUAAAGCCCGGAGCCCAACUCCGGAUCGGCCCUGGAAACUGUCAGACUUGAGUAAGGUAGGGGUUGCGGGAAUUCCCGGUGUAGCGGUGAAAUGCGUAGAUAUCGGGAAGAACACCAGCGGCGAAAGCGCGCAACUGGGCCAUUACUGACACUGAGGGACGAAAGCUAGGGGAGCGAAUGGG